rnacentral:rRNA from 1 species
CAGAGGUCUCAACCGUUGUUCGGAUUCAUUGGGCGUAAAGGGUGCGUAGGCGGUCGCGUAAGUCAGGUGUGAAAUCCCGGGGCUCAACCCCGGAACUGCAUUUGAUACUGCGUGGCUCGGGUACUGGAGAGGAGACUGGAAUUUACGGUGUAGCAGUGAAAUGCGUAGAUAUCGUAAGGAAGACCAGUGGCGAAGGCGAGUCUCUGGACAGUUACCGACGCUGAGGCACGAAGGACAGGGGAGCAAACGGGAUUAGAUACCCCGGUAGUCCUGACAGUAAACGGUGUACGUUUGGUGUAGGCGGAUUCGACCCCGUCUGUGCCGGAGCUAACGCGUUAAACGUACCGCCUGGGAAGUACGGUCGCAAGAUUA